rnacentral:rRNA from 1 species
CCUACGGGAGGCAGCAGUGGGGGAUAUUGCACAAUGGGGGGAACCCUGAUGCAGCGACGCCGCGUGGGUGAAGAAGCGCCUCGGCGCGUAAAGCCCUGUCAGCAGGGAAGAAAAUGACGGUACCUGAAGAAGAAGCCCCGGCUAACUACGUGCCAGAAGCCGCGGUAAUACGUAGGGGGCAAGCGUUAUCCGGAUUUACUGGGUGUUAUGGGGGCGCAGACGGCGGUGCAAGCCAGGAGUGAAAGCCCGGGGCCCAACCCCGGGACUGCUGUUGGAACUGGGUGGCUGGAGUGCAGGAAGGGCAGGCGGAAUUCCUGGUGUAGCGGUGAAAUGCGUAGAUAUCAGGAGGAACACCGGUGGCGAAGGCGGCCGGCUGGACUGCAACUGACGUUGAGGCCCGAAAGCGUGGGGAGCGAACAGGAUUAGAUACCCGGGUAGUC